GGGCUAUUAUUUUAAUUACAAAUGAAUAUAUAUAUAUAUUUUUACAGCAAUGGUGUGGAAUUUUUUACAGCAAUGGCGUGGAAUUUCAGAAACAACUAAGGAGAAAUUCAAGGAUACUUAAUUUUAGCAGAAAGGUAAUCUUUGAGAAAAUUCUACUUGUGCAGAAAAAACAAAGGAAACUAUGACAUGAUUGGGAGAGACAGCAUGUCAGCUUGUCAAAUAGCAUGACUUUCUGUACAGGAAGAAACUUGAUCCUGGACAUUUCUUGCUUGCAUUUAAAUAAAUAAUAAUCACUUAGC
rnacentral:lncRNA from 1 species